CAAUAGCGUAUAUUUAAGUUGUUGCAGUUAAAAAGCUCGUAGUUGGAUUUCGGGUGGGACGCAGCGGUCUCGCAUUGCGUUUGUACUGCUGCAGCCCUCCUUCUUGCCGGGGGCGGCCUCUCGGACUUCACUGUCUGGGGGUCAGAAUCGGCGAUGUUACUUUGAGUAAAUUAGAGUGUUCAAAGCAAGCUUACGCUCUGAAUAUAAUAGCAUGGGAUAACACGACAGGACUCUGGCCUAUCGUGUUGGUCUAUAGGACCAGAGUAAUGAUUAAGAGGGACAGUCGGGGGCAUUCGUAUUCCGUUGUCAGAGGUGAAAUUCUUGGAUCACAGGAAGACGAUCUUAGGCGAAAGCAUUUACCAUGGAUGUUUNCAUUAA
rnacentral:rRNA from 1 species